rnacentral:rRNA from 1 species
UACGAAGGGGGCUAGCGUUGCUCGGAAUCACUGGGCGUAAAGGGUGCGUAGGCGGGUCUUUAAGUCAGGGGUGAAAUCCUGGAGCUCAACUCCAGAACUGCCCUUUGAUACUGAAGAUCUUGAGUCGGGAGAGGUGAGUGGAACUGCGAGUGUAGAGGUGAAAAUUCGUAGAUAUCGCAAGAACACCAGUGGCGAAGGCGGCUCACUGGCCCCGAUACUGACGCUGAGGCACGAAAGCGUGGGGAGCAAACAGGG